GACAGAUCAGCAUCGGUGGAUGAUGAUGAUGCUGAAUGAGAGAUUGCAGUGCAGUACAGAAGAGAGAAAUACAGAGGAUUCGAUCUUUCCAAGAGACAAAAGACCCUGUUGAAUUCUGAGUGAGCAGCAUUUCAAUUCCACACGCCAUGGUGAACUGACUGCAGACAAACAUCCUGUCCCCCUGGGGUGAGGCAGAGGAGAGCCCGGAAGACCACAGCAGACCUUGUCUAUUUCCAUCCCCCUCUCACCCGGUCCCUUGCUGAUGACACAGGCGGCCCCCUGGUACCGUGGCUGACCCCUUCAGUCAACUCUCAUCACCCAGACUGACAGCUGUCAAUCAAAUGUCUGGGCUGCGUUGUGACACGAAGAGGCAUUGAUAGACAGUGGCUAUGUUUGUGAGUGUGUGUGUGUGUGUGUGUG